GUGGGGAAUUUUGGACAAUGGGCGAAAGCCUGAUCCAGCCAUGCCGCGUGCAGGAUGAAGGCCUUCGGGUUGUAAACUGCUUUUGUACGGAACGAAAAGACUCCUUCUAAUAAAGGGGGUCCAUGACGGUACCGUAAGAAUAAGCACCGGCUAACUACGUGCCAGCAGCCGCGGUAAUACGUAGGGUGCAAGCGUUAAUCGGAAUUACUGGGCGUAAAGCGUGCGCAGGCGGUUAUAUAAGACAGGUGUGAAAUCCCCGGGCUCAACCUGGGAACUGCAUUUGUGACUGUAUAGCUAGAGUACGGUAGAGGGGGAUGGAAUUCCGCGUGUAGCAGUGAAAUGCGUAGAUAUGCGGAGGAACACCGAUGGCGAAGGCAAUCCCCUGGACCUGUACUGACGCUCAUGCACGAAAGCGUGGGGAGCAAACAGGAUUAGAAACCUGGUAGUCC
rnacentral:rRNA from 1 species